GAUGAACGCUGGCGGCGUGCUUAACACAUGCAAGUCGAACGAAGCAAUUUUGAAACUUCGGUUUCAAAAUUGACUUAGUGGCGGACGGGUGAGUAACGCGUAGGUAACCUGCCUUAUACAGGGGGAUAACAGCUGGAAACGGCUGCUAAUACCGCAUAACACAGUGAAGUCGCAUGACUUUAUUGCCAAAGAUUUAUCGGUAUAAGAUGGACCUGCGUCUGAUUAGCUAGUUGGUGAGGUAAUGGCUCACCAAGGCGACGAUCAGUAGCCGACUUGAGAGAGUGAUCGGCCACAUUGGGACUGAGACACGGCCCAAACUCCUACGGGAGGCAGCAGUGGGGAAUAUUGCACAAUGGGGGAAACCCUGAUGCAGCGACGCCGCGUGAGUGAUGAAGUAUUUCGGUAUGUAAAGCUCUAUCAGCAGGGACGAAAAAAGACGGUACCUGACUAAGAAGCCCCGGCUAACUACGUG
rnacentral:rRNA from 1 species